GCUCGCACGCUUCACCUGGGACUGGCCCGUCGCCCCCCGUGAGGCGGGACUGGUGCAGAGGGCCCCGCUGAGCGCCGCUGGCGGUGAAGGGCGGGAUUUGAGACUAAACGAACCAGACCCCUGGGUUCAGCGGGAGGCAGUAGAGGGUGCUGUGAUUGCACACACAGAAAUGGAGCUGCCUAAAGAACAAGGAAACAAAUGCCCAACAAGCAGCAAAUGAAGCCACCUGAAUCAUUAAAUCCUGAAGGAAAUCUGGCAGAGAACUGGAGGAGGUUGUUGCUGCACUUCCAAGUUUUCCUGGAAGCAAGCAUGUACUGAAGAGAAAAGGAGAAGGUGAAAUCUCUCCUAAAUGUGGUGGGAGGGGCAGGAAGCAGAAA